rnacentral:rRNA from 1 species
AUUGAACGCUGGCGGCAGGCCUAACACAUGCAAGUCGAACGAGUGGCGGACGGGUGAGUAACGUCUGGGACACUGCACGUGGGAGGGGGAUAACUACUGGAAACCGUAGCUAAUACCGCAUAGCAUCGCAUGUGCCCAGAUGGGAUUAGCGAUUGGGUGGGGUAACGGCUCACCUAGGCGACGAUCCCUAGCUGGUCUUAGAGGAUCACAAGCCACACGGGAACUGAGACACAGUCCAGACUCCUACGGUAGGCAGCAGUGGGGAAUAUUGCACAAUGGGGGAAAGCCUGAUACAGCCAUGCCGCGUGUGUGAUGAAGGCCUUCGGGUUGUAAAGUACUUUCAGCGGGGAAGCGUUACCCGCAGAAUAAGCACCGGCUAACUCCGUGCCAGCAGCCGCGGUAAUUC